rnacentral:rRNA from 1 species
AUUGAACGCUGGCGGCAUGCCUUACACAUGCAAGUCGAACGGCAGCACGGGUGCUUGCACCUGGUGGCGAGUGGCGAACGGGUGAGUAAUACAUCGGAACAUGUCCUGUAGUGGGGGAAAGCCCGGCGAAAGCCGGAUUAAUACCGCAUACGAUCCACGGAUGAAAGCGGGGGACCUUCGGGCCUCGCGCUAUAGGGUUGGCCGAUGGCUGAUUAGCUAGUUGGUGGGGUAAAGGCCUACCAAGGCGACGAUCAGUAGCUGGUCUGAGAGGACGACCAGCCACACUGGGACUGAGACACGGCCCAGACCCCUACGGGAGGCAGCAGUGGGGAAUUUUGGACAAUGGGCGAAAGCCUGAUCCAGCAAUGCCGCGUGUGUGAAGAAGGCCUUCGGGUUGUAAAGCACUUUUGUCCGGAAAGAAAUCCUUGGCUCUAAUACAGUCGGGGGAUGACGGUACCGGAAGAAUAAGCACCGGCUAACUACGUG